rnacentral:lncRNA from 1 species
CUUGAGGAGAAACAUGCUUUCUCAAUAGUUCUAAUGAAGGAAAAGAAAAUGGGGGUGAGUCUGAAUACAUUGUAUUUACUUGCAGUAUGAUCCCGAUGAAAAAUCUUUCUAAUGGUCAAAUGAUGAUAAGGAAAAAAAGGCAGAGAUUGGGCUGUGAGCGUCUCCCAGCUGUGACUUCCCCUUGCUGCUGGGCACAGAGGAAAUCCAUCAGGUGGCCAGCUGUGAUGGCUUCACUCUUGCAGGAGAUAUUGUCGAGGCACAACUGCAGAAGUUCAAGACUGAGUGAAACAAGACUUUUCAGAGGAUUUCUCUCUCUUACGCAUUCCUAGGGAGUACACGUGGGAAGUAUGAGUAGAGGUGACCCAGAGCAGCUCGCUGACCUCCUUCUCCUAGCAGACAGACGGCAAGCACUUGGCAAACACAGUGCAGAUGCACGGACACAAGAUGUAGAGCCCAGCCUCACUGCCACCAGCCUUGAUGGAUGCUGAUGGGGGGACUCUAUCCUCUAUUGUCAUGGCCCCUCCUUUCCUAGCAGAAAAAAAAAUAAAGAAUUUAUGCUUCAACUAAUGCUAAGGAAA